rnacentral:lncRNA from 1 species
CUGGAAUAUAACUAAUCUUGCUCAGAGUUCUUCUCUUCAUGGAUAUCAGAUAUCAUCGAAUUUGUGUUUUAAGUAGUCUUUCAUAACCUUGGCAAUGGGUAGUUCAUCAAGUAGUUUUAGGUUUUGAAGGCCUAUACACUGUCGGAUUUUAAUUCGGCAUAGAUCUUGCAAGUUUCUGGGCUGUCUUGUCACUUCUUGUAAGAAAUCCAGACAGGGUCGGCUACUUCCAGAAAUACUUAUUGAAACAGCCAGUGGGGUCUGUCCUUCAUAGUUCCUUGUGUUAGUGUCCGCUCCGUAAUUAUACAACAUUUGUGCACAAAGCACAUCAUCUCUAAGAGCAGACAAGUGUAAGGGUGUCUGUCCGUCCUCCAAGCGCCCCAAGUUUGUGUCCGCC